AUUGAACGCUGGCGGCAUGCUUUACACAUGCAAGUCGAACGGCAGCACGGGGGCAGCCCUGGUGGCGAGUGGCGAACGGGUGAGUAAUACAUCGGAACGUGCCCGGUCGUGGGGGAUAACGUAGCGAAAGUUACGCUAAUACCGCAUACGAUCUGAGGAUGAAAGCGGGGGACCUUCGGGCCUCGCGCGAUCGGAGCGGCCGAUGUCAGAUUAGGUAGUUGGUGGGGUAAAGGCCUACCAAGCCGACGACCUGUAGCUGGUCUGAGAGGACGACCAGCCACACUGGGACUGAGACACGGCCCAGACUCCUACGGGAGGCAGCAGUGGGGAAUUUUGGACAAUGGGCGCAAGCCUGAUCCAGCCAUUCCGCGUGCAGGACGAAGGCCUUCGGGUUGUAAACUGCUUUUGUACGGAACGAAAAGGCUCUGGCUAAUACCUGGGGCUCAUGACGGUACCGUAAGAAUAAGCACCGGCUAACUACGUG
rnacentral:rRNA from 1 species